rnacentral:misc_RNA from 1 species
GAAAUGCGAUAAGUAGUGUGAAUUGCAGAAUUCAGUGAAUCAUCGAAUCUUUGAACGCACAUUGCGCCCCUUGGUAUUCCAUGGGGCAUGCCUGUUCGAGCGUCAUUUGUACCCUCAAGCUCUGCUUGGUGUUGGGUGUUUGUCCCCGUCUCCGCGCGUGGACUCGCCCCAAAGUGAUUGGCAGCCGGCGUACUGGUCCCGGAGCGCAGCACAUGUCGCGCAAACGAGUGCCUUGGUACGGCGGCGUCCAUAAGCCCCUCUCUCACGCUCUUGACCUCGGAUCCGGUAGGGAUACCCGCUGAACUUAAGC